UGAGGUCAGUCCCAAGGUUUGGGGUUUGAUGGGAAAGAAUGUUUGAAACAGCAGAGAAAUCUGAUCCUGGAUCUGCUGUGUUGAUGUGCAUAAGCAAAACUGAGGUUGAAGACUGAAUGCACUGAAGAGGAUUUUAAAAACCAGAGGGAAAAGAUUCUGCUGAAGAAGAAAAGACAUCUGGGAUGGCUUAAAGGAUUUAUCAACCAGCAAAGGAUUGAAGAGACAAAUCAGUAUAGAACUGCAAG